GCGGGAGUAGCUUAAUGGUAGAGCGUUCGGUUCCCCCGAGAGGUAGUGGUUCGACUCCGUCUCUCCCGCUCCA
rnacentral:tRNA from 1 species